GAGGGUAUAGCUCAGUGGUAGAGCACAUGCUUAGAGUGCACAAGGUCCUGGGUUCAACCCCCAGGACCUCA
rnacentral:tRNA from 1 species